GACGGAGGAUGCAAGCGUUAUCCGGAAUGAUUGGGCGUAAAGCGUCCGCAGGUGGCAGUUCAAGUCUGCUGUCAAAGACCGGGGCUUAACUUCGGAAAGGCAGUGGAAACUGAACAGCUAGAGUAUGGUAGGGGCAGAGGGAAUUCCUGGUGUAGCGGUGAAAUGCGUAGAGAUCAGGAAGAACAUCGGUGGCGAAAGCGGCGUGCUGGAUCUCUUCUGACGCUGAGGCUCGAAAGCUAGGGGAGCAAACGGG
rnacentral:rRNA from 1 species